rnacentral:rRNA from 1 species
CAGCACCUCAAGUGGUCAGGAUGAUUAUUGGGCCUAAGGCAUCCGUAGCCGGCUCUGUAAGUUUUCGGUUAAAUCUGUACGCUCAACGUACAGGCUGCCGGGAAUACUGCAGCGCUAGGGAGUGGGAGAGGUAGACGGUACUCGGUAGGAAGGGGUAAAAUCCUUUGAUCUAUUGAUGACCACCUGUGGCGAAGGCGGUCUACCAGAACACGUCCGACGGUGAGGGAUGAAAGCUGGGGGAGCAAGCCGGAUUAGAUACCCGAGUAGUCC